rnacentral:rRNA from 1 species
AACGAACGCUGGCGGCAGGCCUAACACAUGCAAGUCGAACGCCCUAGCAAUAGGGAGUGGCAGACGGGUGAGUAACGCGUGGGAACCUUCCCUGUGGUGCGGAAUAACUCGCCGAAAGGCGUGCUAAUACCGCAUAAGCCCGCAAGGGGAAAGAUUUAUCGCCAUAGGAUGGGCCCGCGUAGGAUUAGCUAGUUGGUGAGGUAAUGGCUCACCAAGGCGACGAUCCUUAGCNGGUUUGGGAGAAUGACCAGCCACACUGGGACUGAGACACGGCCCAGACUCCUACGGGAGGCAGCAGUGGGGAAUCUUGGACAAUGGGCGCAAGCCUGAUCCAGCCAUGCCGCGUGAGUGACGAAGGCCUUCGGUUGUUAAGUAC